CAAUUAUUUAUAGCCUCUGGCUAUAGGAAAUUGUUAGUGGCAGACGGGUGAGUAAUGCGUAGGAAUCUACCUAGUAGUACGGAAUAGCCAUUAGAAAUGGUGGGUAAUACUGUAUAAUCCCCGAGGGGGAAAGAUUUAUCGCUAUUAGAUGAGCCUACGUUAGAUUAGCUAGUUGGUGAGGUAAUGGCUUACCAAGGCUAUGAUCUAUAGCUGGUCUGAGAGGACGAUCAGCCACACUGGAACUGAGAUACGGUCCAGACUCCUACGGGAGGCAGCAGUGGGGAAUAUUGGACAAUGGGCGAAAGCCUGAUCCAGCUAUGCCGCGUGAGUGAAGAAGGCCUUCGGGUUGUAAAACUCUUUCAAUAGGGAAGAUAAUGACGGUACCUAUAGAAGAAGUCCCGGCAAA
rnacentral:rRNA from 1 species